UGGGGAAUCUUGCACAAUGGACGAAAGUCUGAUGCAGCGAUCCCGCGUGAAGGAUGAAGCCCUAUGGGGUGUAAACUUCUUUUCUGGUGGAAGACGAAUGACGGUACACCAGGAAUAAGAGACGGCUAACUAUGUGCCAGCAGCCGCGGUAAUACGUAGGUCUCAAGCGUUAUCCGGAUUUACUGGGCGUAAAGUGUCCGUAUCCUGAUGUAUAAGUCUGUUUUCAAAUCCCUCAGCUUAACUGAGGAAAGGGGAUAGAUACUGUACAUCUAGAGAUUGUUAGGGGUUAGUGGAAUUUCCGGUGGAGCGGUGAAAUGUGUUGAUAUCGGAAAGAAUGCCGAAAGCGAAAGCAGCUAACUAUAACAAAUCUGACGGUGAGGGACGAAAGCUUGGGUAGCAAACGGG
rnacentral:rRNA from 1 species